AGUGAACGCUGGCGGUAGGCCUAACACAUGCAAGUCGAACGGCAGCACAGAGGAGCUUGCUCCUUGGGUGGCGAGUGGCGGACGGGUGAGGAAUACAUCGGAAUCUACUCUGUCGUGGGGGAUAACGUAGGGAAACUUACGCUAAUACCGCAUACGAACUACGGGUGAAAGCAGGGGAUCUUCGGACCUUGCGCGAUUGAAUGAGCCGAUGUCGGAUUAGCUAGUUGGCGGGGUAAAGGCCCACCAAGGCGACGAUCCGUAGCUGGUCUGAGAAGAUGAUCAGCCACACUGGAACUGAGACACGGGCCAGACUCCUACGGGAGGCAGCAGUGGGGAAUAUUGGACAAUGGGCGCAAGCCUGAUCCAGCCAUACCGCGUGGGUGAAGAAGGCCUUCGGGUUGUAAAGCCCUUUUGUUGGGAAAGAAAUCCAUCUGGUUAAUACCCGGGUGGGAUGACGGUACCCAAAGAAUAAGCACCGGCUAACUUCGUGCCAGCCGCCGCCGUAA
rnacentral:rRNA from 1 species